rnacentral:lncRNA from 1 species
UUUCUUUUGGAAAUUUGUUUUUCUUUUGGUUUACUUUAUUUAAGCUAUCAGAAAUACCUUUUCCUUGUUAUGCAGUAAGUUACUUGGUUAGCAUUUUAGGUUAGCAUUCUACCUGACUUCAUCCCUUUUACCCGUGAUGUCAUCUGUACAUCCCCAUUGCCCCAUGCUCAAAGAUGCCCAGUCUUUGCUUGCCCACUAAGUUGAGUUUGCUUUUGUUAUGGGAAGGUCCUCUUAGAUAUAUAACUUGGCAAUGACUUUUUGCAUGCUACUUUUGGAAAGGUUACUUAGUGAGCCUUUUUGAUGCAUUUCUCCACACAUCCUAUGAUAUCGGUAACUGAAUCUUUAAUUCCCUUGUUAUAACAGACAGAGUUUCUUGAGUCUUCACUACAGUUCUACUCUCCUUCUAUUAUGCUUUUACAGCAAUUCCCUAGGCUCGGGAAGGUGAAGGAUGAAGUUUAUAAUGGUACUGAAUACCAAACUGUUGCUUGAUUUAUUCAGGAAGGUUAUUAUAUUCAGGGAUCAAGUGACAGCUUAAAAGCUAGUAUCAUUCAUCAUCAUCAGCUAAUUUUCACUGGGUGUCCACUGGGUGCUGAGCAUCAUACAAGGCUCUUUGUCAGCAUGCAUGUGCCUGAUAAGGUUGAUGGGAUUCUAGGAAUACAGGAUCCUGUCCUCCAGGAACAUUCUGCUGUCAAUGUGAGUCACUGAAGACUCAGGAUUGUCAAGUUCUGUGUACAAAUGCAUGUAACUAAAAACACUUCAUUGCUGCAGAAAUUACUGUCAGCAAAUCUAGGUCCUAUCCUCAUUAAUAUCUACACUGUUGCCAGGGAAAUAGAGAGAUGUUGAACAGACAAGCAUAGGUGUCUGCUCUAGUGACCUGAGCUCAGCAGCAUACAUUUAUGCUUUGGGUCUGCAGCAGAUCCUUUCUGUCCUAUACACAUAAUUUCGCUCCGUUUUUUACUUAAUGAGAUCCAAUUGCCCCCUCCUCCAAACACCUAUGCACUUCAUCUUUCCUUGUGAGAAACUAGUCACAUGGAUUACACAUCUAGAUCUAGUGCCUGUUCUUCUCUAGAUUGCUGUGUGAUAUAUAUCCCUCUCCUGAAAUUAUUUGGAAGACCAACCUAGAUCAAAUUUGCUUCAACUUGUUAUCAUCAAUAUGUAGAUUAAGACAGUGAAGGUGAGGCAGAGCAGCCCCUGUAUGGGUGGAUAAGGAACAGGGUGGGUCUCUGGAAUACUUGGUAAUGAGAAUAGUAUGAGCUGAGCCUGUGCACAGCAUUUCCUUGUUGAGUUUCUUCCCUGCCUUAGGCCUGUGUUCUGCUGAGUGCAGUGAGUUCGUUUACUGGAGGCCUCUGCUAAGAUUUCCUUGUUUGGUAUCCAUCACAGCCAUUGCAGAGAGGACUCCCUUGGAAAAGACUUAGCAGUUCUUCUCCAGUUGAUAACAAACAUUUAGGCUCGGGGAUUACCACAAGAGUGGAAAGGCCUCAGGAGAUUUUUAUGUAGCAGUCCAAUUUUUCCCCCUUCUCUCUUCCUCCCCUCACCCCGUUUCCUAUGGAGAACCUCAUCUUUGUGGUACUUUGCCCCUUUUACUUUUGAGAUCUGGCCUUCUCUGUUUUCUUUUCGUUACCACUUAACUGCUUCUUGUCACCAGCCUGUAUCAGUAGUGGGGCUUGCUCCAGGCAAUAUGUGCUUCCGUUCCUUGGGCUUUCUCUACUUCUGCAGUACUCCUGUGCAGGAUAUGGAGACGUAUUUGCCGUGGUCUAAACGUUUCAGGUUUCCAGUGCUGUUCUUCCUGCUUAGUAUCUUCUAUUCCCCUUUGUAGUGUUUUUAAUUCCAACACUAAAUUGAGGAAGUAAAAAAUAAUUAGCCUGCUGCAACUUAGCUAACACACAUGCUUAUUUGAACUUCGGUGAAUCCAGAUCUCUGGCUGUUCCUUGCAAUCCUAUAUCUCAUCGAAGGUUGCUUGAUCUCUGGUUUCAGAGGCUUUUCAAAAUUUGUCUGUAUAGAGGGGUACAUAUUCUGGAUUUAUACAGUGGCAAAUUUAUUUGCAUAUGGCGAAAAAUGACUGUUGCUUUAGGAAAAUCAGCCCUUCAUAAAGCUUCCUGAGUUUUCUGGUUGGUGUGCACUGCCCAAUACCACUUUGGUGUUUUAACUAUAGAAUGCCCAGAGUCCAGUGCCUAUUAGCAAAUCAGGACUGAUUCCUUUGAAGAGAUGAAUUCAUUGCAACUCUUAAACUCUCUGCCAUCUUAUACAAAUGUCAGUAUAUAAAAAAAAUAGCUUUUAGAAAGAUCAUACCUUAAUGGUACUUGUUUCAUUGAGUUAUUGUUUGUAUAAUAUAAAGCAUAUUUUAAUAAUUUCCUUUUCUGUAAAUUAUGUAUAAAAUGCAUAUGCAUUUAUUUUUAGGUGUAUCCAUAAUAUAAUAAGUAUUAAUAAUUAUAGAUGGCAGUCAUUUUUAUCAGUUGAUUCAGUGAUAGAAUGGUAUAGAAGUAUCUCUUGAGUCAGGAAACAAAGAGAUACCAUAGCAAAUUCUAUAAUGCUGUGAGAUUACCCAGUAAGGAUACUAUUUUAUCAUAUACAUAAAGCUCGUAGAUGAUGCUUUAUAAGCAAACCUGAAAAUAUAAACUUUUCAAAUCCAUGAAUAAAAUCCUCUCUACCCAGAUAAGUUAUCUAGAAACUACGAAGCAUCAUAAGGCCAGACUUUUCAUUCAUUUGAAUAAUCAAGCAGUAGGUGCGUACAUAUCUCCUAUGUCUGGAGAGAGAAAAGUAGUGGGAUUUUGUUUUUCACAGACUUAUAGUUUGAGGACAUUUUAGAGAUAUUUAUAUAUCUUAAAUGAAAAAAAAUGUUCUAUGUUCCUUAAUUUUUCCUGAAUUUAUUCAUUUUUAUUAUAUUUCUCCUAGAAAAUGCAAGAUUAUGUUUGCAUAUUUAUUUGACAGAAGGUUUUCAAUAGAAGAUUGGAAAACAAAAAAUUAGUAGUAUUGUCACAGAAUGUAAAAACAGGAGGCAAACGAGAAAAAAAUUAAAAUGUGGGUAAACUCAGUAAGGGAAAUUAAGGGAAGGACCAAAAACUGGAACUGGGAAGUCAGUCUUCUCAUUGCUGCCAUGAAGAUUUCUGGUAUUUGAAUCUUUCAACAUCCCUGAAUUAUGCUUCUCAACUGUGAUUAAAGCUUGGUGGCUCCCAGGGUAGGUCACACCCAAAGCCUCAGGGCCAGGCCUGGAAGGAGAGUGUGGAAACAAGUCUAUCUCUGAGAACCUGGACCAAUGGCUGAAUCUGCCUUCAAGGCAAGAUUCAGCACAGGAUUAGAUACCAGCCUUGAACAACAUGGAAAUGCAUUUGCCAGAAGUUAUCUGCCUCCAGGUGUUAAAUAUGUUUAGUUAUGUGAUAGUGCUCUUUAUG